GAGCGCGCUAGCCGCCGGCCGCGGGGAGGAGACCUUGGGAGGUCGGGCCCCAGAUGGCCGGCGGCGUCCUGGCACCCCUGCCAGGCCUGGACUCCGCGUGCGACCCCGUUGUAACGCCUGAACUCAGCGCACGUUCGCCGAGCGCCACAGCGCGCCGGACGCUGUUUCUCCCUGCUGGGGACCCAUCAGGGCCCGGACAGAAACCCCGGCUGAGGCUGUGGCUGCCCUCAAGCCGCGAUAGCCCCACCGUGGGGUGUGAUAACUUUUAGGGUUCACUACGAGGGACCUUAGAAAUCAUUAUACCCGACCCCUUCGUUUUCUGUUUCAGGGAGGUGGUCUCGCUCAGACCCCAGUGGCGCGAUCAUGGCUCAGUGCAACCUCGAACCCGUGGCUCAACCGAACCUCCCAACCUGCUAACUUUUUAAAUAUUUUGUAGAGAUGGGGGUCUCGCCAUGUUGCCCAGGCUGGUCUCGAACUCUUGAGCUUAAGUGACCCUGCGGCCUCGGCCUCCCAAAGUGCUGGGAUUACAAACCCGCGCCCGGCCUAAUCCCUUUGUUUUCUAGCUGAGGAACGGCUCUGAGGUUACGUUACUAGGUCGGGUUACUAGGUAGGGUUCCCGUGAGCGGAAUCAUCUCCGCCCAGUUGCCACCCCGGUCCAGACUGCCAGACCUUCAGGAAGGAGUAUCUUCGCAACUCCCCACCCCAUUGUAAGGAAAUUCCUCACACUUCUCCCUCAAAGGGGGCGCAGCUGGGUCAACUCCCACUGGCAGGAUGCUCUCCGGAGCUGCUAGAAGCUGCCUCUGGGGCAUGAGGUAGAUACAGACAGAAGCUGGGCCUCUGAGACUCUACAAACGGUUGCUGUUGGGCAGGCGGACCUUAUUUUCUUCAGUCAACAGCUGAUUAAACAUUUGCCACAGGCCCGGCUGCGGUUUAGCCUCAGUAGCACAGCAGGAACUGGGGACUGAGAUUCGAUUUUGUCACUAACUUCAUGUGUACUUUUUAUAAAAGAUACUUUUCUGUUUCUGGACUUUGACUUAUUCGUCUAUAAAAUAGGGUUAAUAAUUUUCUAGUUGCCUGCAUACCUUACUGAGUUUUUACCGUUAAUUUGGUUAUAUUAUCUAUAGAAGGAUUUGUAAAAUACAAAAUCAUACACACCCUAUAAAGAGGCCACACAUCACUAGCUAUCAACACUUUGGAGUCUCAUUCUCCUGUUUAUUUUUUUAAAGACGGGGUCUUGCUAUGUUUCCCAGGUUAAAGUACAGUGGCUAUUCACAGGCACAAUCAUAACGCACUUCAGCCUCAAACUCCUGGCCUCAAGGGAUCCUCCCACCUGAACUACACCUGAGACUACUGGCAUGCACCACCACACCUAGCUUAUUUUCUAGAAGAGUACCUAGAAGAGGUUCUACGAAGGCUUGUGGAAUACAUUCCUGUUGCUGAGACCAGUAUUCUAGUUCCAGAUUUGCCACUGGCUACAAGUGUUGAGACAGAGCAGGAACCUCUCUUAGGGGUCUGCCACCAGCCCCCCAUUCAAUGCACGAAAAUAAAGAAACAUUUGAGUCCCUUCAAGGGAAAUUCCAGGCACCUAGCUAGCCCUGCAACCAGCAAUUAGGGAAGUGAAUGAAUGACCUGCUAAGCAAGAAAGUAGUAAUAGUUUAAACAAUAGUACCCAAAUAAGAGUCACAAAACGUUAGCUUCCUUAUAGAAACUGAAGAUGACAUCUUGACAUAUGUCCUUGAGUUGUUUUUCAGAAAUUAGGACCCCCACCGGUGGGGGUCACUUCCACUCUCUGGGCCUGUUUCCUUCUUACAGAGCAGACUUCCUCCAGAUUGGCAUCCCAUGACCAAGGGUAUUUCAGAGGUGGAAAGAAUGGAGAACCUCUGGGAUCCUAUUUCCACUAAGAAAAAAAAUACCAGGGGGAGAGGCUGCAUAUGUGUUUGCAAAUACACAGGAAAAAAGUGUUAGGAGAAUACUCCUCAAACUUUUCUCAGUGUAAACAAAAAGGAUUUUGAGAGUGGAAUAGGGGAAUGAAGGAGAACGUUCACAUUAUUAUCUGAAUUAUUUAUUUUUAAAGAUAAUUUAAUGCUUUUGUAAUUGUAGAAGAAAACAAAGAAAAACUGUGGAUUCUUCAGAAGAGAUGGGCAGCUCCUGCCAGCAGACCCCUACAACCCAGGCAGUCCUCCCCAGUGACUGCUGUGGUGAUGAACCAGGCAGAGCAAGGGCUUGAGAACCACUGGGCCACCCACCAAGGGACUCAGGAAGGAACCAGGCACAAUUUGACUCUGUUCCUGCUUUACCAGCCCCCUCAAGGCCACUUGUGUGACCUUUCCGUCCUUUGGACCUCUCUUUCCCAUCCCCAUAACAAGCAGUGGGCAGUGAAGCACUGACGACACCCACACCCCGCUUUCCCCAUAUCCCAGACUAUUUCCUUUAAACGGGACUUUUCAAAAGGUUAGGACCCCUGGUCAGAUCCCCUCUCACCCUCAUCCUUGUCCCUAACGGCUCCAAUACUAACCUAGGUGCCAACCCAAGGACCCGCCCCUGCUCCCUGCCCAUCAUUUCCAGACAUCGACCUACUCUUUCCUGGCCAUCUCCCCUUCCCUGGAAACCCUGUGUUCCCACAAAGAGAAAAAAUGUGACUGGGGCUUUCUUGAGACCACGCCCUCUGCUCCCAGGCUUUGACAGAUAAUUUGCCAUCAACUACACAGGUUUUUAAGUGGCUCCAUAACCCCAUAAACCAAUAUGAAGCUUUGAAGCUGUUCUUUCCAUCCUACACACUUUAAGCCCCACCCACACAGUUGGCAUUUAAUACUUAACCAAAAACAGCAGCACGCAGCGUUCAUCCACUAAGCACACAGCGGUUGUCAAGAGCACAGGUUUCAGGAGUCAGACAGACUUGAAUUUGAAUCUGCCUCUGGUGAUUACCAGUUAUAUGACUGUGGGCAAAUGUUUUCAUGUAUAAAAGAAGACUACCUCCCACACAAGGACACAUGAGAUAAUUUAGGUAAACUUCACCAGGUGCCACUCACGUCAACAAAUUGUGGUUAUUCUUAUGUGCUCUGUGCUAAAUGCUGGAGAUAUAUGCAGAAAUUGCUAACACAGGCAAGAAAAGAACUAUUAAUGCCUGGUAAAAAGAGGUACUCAAAUUUGUAUGAAACCACCAAUUCAGGGACGCAUACAGAGUGACUGCUCACAGAAAUCUGGAGUCCUACAGCAGGCCGGCCAGGGACACUGUAGGACAGAAUCAAAUCAGCCCCCUUUCCUGCCUAGCAACUAGCACCUGAAAAGUCUGACCUGACCUUGAGAUGGAGCAGAGACCCUCUUUUUUAAUUUUUUUUUAUUUUUAUUUUUUGAGACAGAGUUGUUGCCCAGGCUGGGGUGCCAUGGCGCGAUCUCGGCUCACUGCAACUUCUGCCUCCUGGGUUCAAGUGAUUCUCCUGCCUCAGCCUGCCGAGUAGCUGGGAUUACAGGCAUGCACCACCAUGCCCGGCUAAUUUUGUAUUUUUAGUAGAGACAGGGUUUCUCCAUGUUGGUCAGGCUGGUCUCAAACUCCUAACCUCAGGUGAUCCACCUGCCUCGGCCUCCCAAAGUGCUGGGAUUACAGGCGUGAGCCACCACGCCCAGCCUCAGAGACUCCACUUAGGAGCCUGCUGGGUUCUGCCCAUCACUUGAAAAGCAUGAGAAUAAACAAAAAUGUGAGUCCCUCCCAGGGAAAUUCCAGGCACCUAGCUAGCUCUACAACCAUGAAUUGGGGAAAUGAAUGAAUAACCCGCUAAGCAAGAAAGUAAUAAUAGCUUAAACAAUAGUCACUCAAGUAGUAGUCACAGAAUGUUAGCUUCCUCAUAGAAACUAAAGAUAACAUCUUUUUGUUUGUUUUGUUUUUUGGGUUGUUUGUUUGUUUUGAGACAAAGUCUUACUCUGUUGCCCAGGCUGGAAUGCAGUGGCACGAUCUCAGCUCAUUGCAACCUCCGCCUCCCAGGUUCAAGCAAUUCUCCUGCUUCAGCCUCCCUAGUAGCUGGGACUACAGGGGCCCGCCACCACACCCAGCUAAUUUUGUAUUUUUAGUAGAGAUGGGGUUUCACCAUGUUGGCCAGGCUGGUCUUGAACUCCUGACCUCAGGUGAUCCACCCACCUCGGCCUCCCAAAGUGCCGGGAUUACAGGCAUGAGCCACCAUGCCUGGCCUAAAGAUAACAUCUUG
rnacentral:lncRNA from 1 species